rnacentral:rRNA from 1 species
AUUGAACGCUGGUGGAAUGCUUUACACAUGCAAGUCGAACGGCAGCACGGACUUCGGUCUGGUGGCGAGUGGCGAACGGGUGAGUAAUGUAUCGGAACGUGCCCAGUCGUGGGGGAUAACGUAGUGAAAAUUACGCUAAUACCGCAUACGAUCUAUGGAUGAAAGCGGGGGAUCGCAAGACCUCGCGCGAUUGGAGCGGCCGAUAUCAGAUUAGGUAGUUGGUGGGGUAAAGGCCCACCAAGCCAACGAUCUGUAGCUGGUCUGAGAGGACGACCAGCCACACUGGAACUGAGACACGGUCCAGACUCCUACGGGAGGCAGCAGUGGGGAAUUUUGGACAAUGGGCGAAGGCCUGAUCCAGCCAUUCCGCGUGCAGGAUGAAGGCCCUCGGGUUGUAAACUGCUUUUGUACAGAACGAAAAGGUUUCUACUAAUACUAGGAGCUCAUGACGGUACUGUAAGAAUAAGCACCGGCUAACUACGUGCCAGCAGCAGCCGCGG